rnacentral:lncRNA from 1 species
GCAUAUCUCUCUCUCUCCAAAAUGGUCUCCAACGUAGCUUGUAUAUCUGCUAUUUCUCCCCAAAAUUGACUCCAACGUAGCUCGAAAAAUCGCAGCAAGCAACACGGAGAGGUCGAAUUAGAGGAAUAAGAGCACAAACGCCCAGAUCUCAGACUUCAAUUUGGUAAACCCUAAACUAUUUUCAGCAAUUACAACCGUAAUUUAUGAAGAUUUGCUGCAAUUUUUUGAUCUACUCUUUUUGACUGAAUUGCAUAUCUGACCCUCCUAUUUGUAAUGUUUUUGCUAAACUGUUUCUUAAAAAAAAAAAAUUUAGUACUCGUAGAUGCAUUAGUUAUGCAAAAGUGUUCCUCCUUUUUUCUGUUAAAUCAUUUAACAGCCAUUAAUUAAGCUAGAGGCAUAAUGGGCAUGCCAAGAAAGGAAAAGAAAAUGAGAGGGAAACCAUAAUGGUACAACUUAUUCCCUCCAAAACAAGUCUUCACCGUCAAUUAGACAAUUACUAUAACUGCUAUUUCUCUUCCAAAACUAAUGGAUGUGCAUGCUUCCAGUAUACUGCCAAUAAGCUCUUCAAAUAGUUUAAAAUAGUAGUGCAUUAUCUAAUCCAUUGAAAGAAACCUACACAUGCAAUGAACAAAUAAAAUAUUGGGAAGAAAACACACUAUCUUUGGUUAACUAGACAAAAUAAAUUGCACGGAAUAUAGAAUUCUUUAUUUUAUUGUAUAUUCCAGUCAAUAUGUAUAUAAAGCAUCUAACUUUCUCAACAAUGAAAACAAUAAACGUAAAUUUGUAGAAAACAGAGGCCACAACGUAAACCUAUACCUAUAAUUCUUUCAACCUUUUGUGCCAAAACCAUAUCAUGUAAACGUAAACCUAUACCUAUAAUUCUAUGACAUAUAGAAAACAGAGACCACAACGUGAUCCCAAAUAGAAAAAAUUGGAAUAUUCAAAAAAAUUCAGUCAUGUCAAUCAAAGCAAUAAAGACAUUUAAAUAUAGCUCCAUUCUAAAUAUUAAGUCAUUAAUUUCUUUCCCUUUUUGUACAGAGUUCAUUAAUCCACACGUAGACAGUAGAGUCCAUCAAUCCACACACAGUCUACAUAUCUCAAAACUAUUGAUACCAACAAUAAUUUCAUGGCGAAAAACAUUGCCAAUUAAUACCCAAAAAGAUUAGUUAAAUAUUUGAAGUAUUUCUUAACGAACAUCAAAAACAUAAUAAACUACUUAUUUAUUGUCUUCUUGCAACCCUUAAUCACCACUUCCUUGCAACCUUGAGAUGGCUUUUUGGUUUUCCACUCCCGCAAACUACAUUUCAGGUUAUGUGAAUAUAAAUUAGAGAUGACAUUCAAUUAAAAAAAUACACUGUAAUUAUAAAAUGACAUUAGUUAUUUAGAUGUAGCAAAUGAUGACUCAUUUGGAUUCAAGUUAUAGACCCUCGUUGGUGGUGGCAGUGGUGACUCAUUUGAAAUCUACACAAAUUCAUUUAAAAUGGCAAUCAAUUCAUUUAAAAUGUUAAUCAAGGACAAGCAAGUGAAAACAAUGGUAAAUAUAAUUAUAAUUAGUAAUAUUACCCUUGUAGAUGUUGCUGAUGUAGCUCUACGAGGCACCCAUGAUUUUCUAUAUGGUGGAGGUUUAGACUUAGGGACCCAUGUUUCUUUAGGCCUUUUUACCUACAUACAAAAUCAUAAUAAAUAUAUAUAUAAGAAUAAACUAUAAUGUUAUUAUAAAAUAAAUAUACGUACUGGCAGUUUUUGUUUUCUAAUGCCUUGAGCUGGUUCCCUGAUAUUUCCAUAAUGUUCAUUUCCUUGACCUCCAAAUGUUAUUGGCAUCUUGCACCCUUUUUUGUUGUGGCCAUAUUUACCACACCUUUUGCACCUCACCUUGUAAGGUCUUCUCUUAAUUCUAGUUGGAUUCGCACCUCCUUCAACCUCUCCUUGGCUCUUCCUCCUAACACUUUGUGGUCUACCAAGUUUGAUAAUGUAUGCAGGGGGUAACAUAGGUGGUAGGUUUUGCUUUUUCCAAAAUUCUGAUGAAGGUACAGGAUUAAUGAUUCCAGCAUAUGUCUGUCUAUAAGUCUCAACGUCAUACCACUCAUGCACAUAAUCUAGUGGAUCUUGAUCAUUGUAAAAUAUGGCUCUAAUCCCAUGGCAUUGGCAGCAAGGUAUACCAUUCAAUUGCCAUUUUCUACACGUGCACUCCUUUGUAUAUAGGUUAACUGAAAACUGAGAACCAAAUGUUUCAGUCACUUGCCAUAUCCUGCAUAAAUUGCAAUGCAAGCUCUAGAAUCAACCUUCAAGCAUUCCAACUUCUCAACUAUAGAUGGACAAAUCCUUUUAGAAUUCCAUUUGUCUGGUCUAUCCCUUGCUUCUUGCAUCCUCUUCAUACAAUAGUCCCUAAGUCCUUCCAUUAGCCCAAGUAUUGAUUUACCUCUUGGCACUCCAAUUUUGCUGUUAAAAACUUCACAUAAAUUGUUGCAUAACAUAUCACAUUUGGGAAAACUACUGAAAUAAACCCUACACCAGUGCACAGGGUCUUUGUCAUCAAGCCAGGAACAUGCUUUGGCAUCCAUUGUCUUCAAUGCUUUGAUUGCUAGCUGAAAAGUACCUUCGGUAGUUGCUUUGGCACAAUCCCAUAACUUCUCUCUGAGUGCCAAUCCCCUAUGACAUGCAGUUCUGAAGUUGUUAUACAUGUGCAUAAAACAAAAUCUAUGAUCAGAUAAUGGACUAACAUCUUCAAGUGCUCUAAUAAGGCCUUUUUGUUUAUCUGAGAUAAAUGUAUAAGCACUCUCAUUUACAAUGUUUACAUCCUCUUUUAAAAUCUCUAAAAACCAGGUCCAUGGCUCUAUUUUUCCCUUCAACAACAGCCCAUGCUAUGGGAAAUAUAUUGUUAUUCCCAUCUACACCAAUCACAGUAAGCAAUAAUCCUUCAUAUGGCACCUUUAAGAAGCAACCGUCUAACCCUAUUAAUGGUCUGCAAUGUUUGAAACCCUCCUUGCACGCACCCAAACAAACAUACAUUCUUUCAAAUACUGGUUUUCCAGUAGCCAAUGUACAAUGUGCAGCAUCUAAUACAACAGUACUAUCUGGAUUCUUCUCUUUCAACUCUUCCACAUAGUUAUACAGAUUUGCAAAUUGCUCAACAAUAGUACCCUCAAUAAUAUUUUGAGCCUUCUUUUUCACCCUAUAUGCCUUGUGAGUAGAGACAUCUAGUUGAUGCUUUGCUAAAACUGUUUUUUGAAACUCGCCCACAUUCAUCUUUGGAUGAAUUAUAUAAUCCUCCAAGUAGUUAUGAGCCAACCAAUCUGCAGUCAUAAACUUGUUUGUAGACUCUCCAGUACAACUACCAUGGUCAGGUAUAAACCUUUUCACUUGGACAGUGUCUUCCCCAGCUUUGUAUUGCGAUGCAAAUAUCCUCCAAGGACAGCCUGAAGUAGGUUGACAUCUAAAUCUGAUUCUAAAUUUCUCAUUUUUUGUCAAUUUAAAUGUUCUUCUAAUGACAAUUGAAUGCCACUUCACAGCUUCCUUGAAUGCUUUGUUAUCUUUGAAAAGCAUCCCCACCUCAAAUUUUGGGUUUUUAGGAUCUAACAUGUGUAUCUUUGGAUCAUAAACUGGAUAUGAAGGAUAUUCAUCAUCAUUGUCCCUGUAUGGCGGCAUCUCAUCUGAGCUAUACACUAGUUCAUCACAAGUAUCGGCCCCAACAUAGUUUCCUACCCCAACUUUUCUUUUCCUGCUUGUAGUUUUCACACCAUCAUCUUGCUGCUUAUUGACACUUAUAAUUUGUUUGUCAUUAUCAAGAACAAUAUCGUCAUUUAUCAAUGGUUUUUUACCCUUUCCAGGUCUCUCAGUCCCAUCAACUUCAAUUCCUUUGGUAACAUGUGUAUCAUAGAUUUUAUCAUCAUCUUCAUCAUUUUCAAAAUUGCUAUCAUCCAAAUGUAUAUAUGAAGCAUCACUAUCGUCAUGUUCAUCUUCUGCAUAGUUAAGCUCUGCAUCUUCAUUUUCGGCAUUUCUUACAUUCUUGGUAUUUUUUGGAUCUUCAUAUUCAAACUCACUAUCUUUAUAAUCUGCCUCUUCAUUUUGAACCUCACAAUUUUUGUCUUCACUAUCAUCAAAUUCAUUAUCCGCAUAGUCAGAUUCAUCUAUAUUGAUAUCACUCAUGCCCUCAUUCUCAUUAAGAUAUAUCACAUCUUCAUUCCCAAAUGAGUGUUAUGUUGGCUGACUUUGUUGUGUCCCAGUUAUUGCAUGUAAUAUCUCGAAAGUCCUCAAAUAAAUUUCGACUUCAUAAUUUUCAGGAAUAAAAUUUUUAAGACCUGAAAUCAGUUUGUAAACAGUCCAUUUGAUAAGUUGUAGGCUGUUUGUGGUAGAAACUAAAGAUCCCUUUGUGCCCCAACAAGUAAGCCAUAUAAUUCAAGUCGGUCAUUGUUGUAGUCUCAAAAUUACAAUAAUCAAUAUAACUCACUUUGCCUUUUGUGUAUUCAGUCCCAUCCUUAGAAAAUUGACCUCUAUGAUGCAAUUUUAUUGUGAAGCAACUGUCGAGCAUUAACUGACCUUCAAGACAAUAUUAAACUAUAAUUAGGAACCACAAUAUAAUAUAACAUUAUACAAACAGAGAGGGCUGUCAACAUAUGAUAUAACAAUUACAAACAGUUUGCUAAAUUAACUGCAAAUCCGACAAGUAUGCAAAGGAAAAUCUGGCUUCUCUGCUCGCUCCACUGCUGAGCAAGUUACCAAAGGAGUUGAUGGAAC